GUACAUAAUUUUAGAUGUGUUCAUUUUUUAUUCUUAAUGAAAUAUUACAUUUAAGUCCUUCUUUGUACGCUUUUUCAAAGCGGCCUCUGCUUAUUUUAACGUAACUCGCCUAAUCUUCUAGAUAGUCUGCACCUUGAUCUGUAAUAAUAGUUAUUUCACUUUAUGAUAAUAUAUUAUAUAUUAUCUGCUGACGACGGCAUACAAAAUAUUACAUGAAGUAGAUUACCUUGGUGGUUAUCAAUUACUUGGUAAGUUCCCCUAAAUUUUAAAAUUACCGCCAUGCUAUUUGAGUUUUGACCAACAAGGUUUUAGUACUCAGUGUUUUAUAUGUUGGUAUUGUAUAAAAGGGUAUCUAAUCCUUGUUUAUGAUCAAUAUUUUAUAUAUUCGGUUUGAUAAGAGUGUAAAAAUAUUAUUUCACCAAUAUUUUUAUAUUAAACUAAUUACACUUUAUUUGUUCAUUACUAUUGAAGUCUGACCGCGACUGCUGGCACUUUUUUAGUCAUAGUAUAUAUAAUUGGUUUAGUCUUACUCUCGUAAAUUUAUAAAUUCUCUUGCCUGGUUGGAUCUUUAUAGUACCAUGAGCAUCCUAUUUUACAUGAACGGUUCACCAU
rnacentral:rRNA from 1 species